rnacentral:rRNA from 1 species
GACGGAGGAUGCAAGCGUUGUCCGGAAUUAUUGGGCGUAAAGAGUUCGUAGGCGGCAUAUCAAGUCUGGUGUUAAAGCCCGAGGCUUAACCUCGGUCAGGCGCUGGAAACUGAUAAGCUAGAGCAUAGUAGAGGCAAGGGGAAUUCCCAGUGUAGCGGUGAAAUGCGUAGAUAUUGGGAGGAACACCAGUGGCGUAAGCGCCUUGCUGGGCUAGUGCUGACGCUGAGGAACGAAAGCCAGGGUAGCGAAUGGGAUUAGAUACCCCAGUAGUCCUGGCCGUAAACGAUGGAUACUAGGUGUAGCGGGUAUCGACCCCCGCUGUGCCGUAGUUAACGCGUUAAGUAUCCCGCCUGGGGAGUACGCACGCAAGUGUAAA